UUAGGAGCGCACAUGUUUCAAGAAGUGCAAAGUCCCAAACUUGGCUGAGGAGAAGAAAAUGAAUUGGGAAGCAUAAGCUUGCACUCAAGAAAUAUAUGAACAUCAAAACUCAUACUGUCACGCUGUGCUUCCUCGCUCCUGAGGCUGCCCCAAUUCAGACCUCAAAGCUACUCCUCCUUGUAGCUAUUUCUCCAGUGUUCUUCAAAUGCCCUACCCCAUGGCCUCUGAGCACUUGAAACAUAGAAUGAAUAUUUCCACACUUGAAAUCUGACUUCGCUCUGAGAAUAGACUUUUCCCGCAGGCUCAUAGACAGAGAGUUCCAUCCUCCUGGUAGAGAACAGAAGGUAAGAUGAAGUAUUUGCACUUUCUCAGGACUUCCCCAGAAUGAAUCCCCACUCAAGUGUAAAAUAGCGCCUCUUGGAGAGCCAUGACACCUGGUGCUGACAGAUCUACCUGCCCUCACCACUACCAUACUCUUCCUAACAUUCUCUACAUUUUCUGAGGGCUUUCAAUCUUGUUUACAAUCUUUUCUCUCCUCCACAAUCCCCCAGAUCAGGACAAGUCCUUCAGAGCAGGCAAGCUCAGCCUUUAGUGCCCUGGCUCUCCUCUCUCUCUCUCCCAUUCUGCUAGCUCACACUUUGGCCAGUCACUUUUGCCCAGAUCCAUGAAUGGUCUCUGACUCCAUCUGCCUUUUCUCAAAACAACAAAAACUACAAGAAAUUCCCUAGUCAUUUCUUU
rnacentral:lncRNA from 1 species